rnacentral:rRNA from 1 species
GAUGAACGCUGGCGGCGUGCCUAAUACAUGCAAGUCGAGCGAAAAGAUAAUGAGCUUGCGCCUUUGACGUUAGCGACGGACGGAUGAGUAACACGUGGGUAAGAUACUUAUAUUACUGGGAUAACUUCGGAAAACCAGAUCUAAUACCGGAUAACAUUACCAACGGCAUGGUUCUAAAGAGAAUGAUAGUUUUGCUAUCUCUUAUAGCUGGACCCGGGCCGUAUUAGCUAGUUGGUAAGGUAACGGCUUACCAAGGCGACGAUACGUAGCUGACCUGAGAGGGUGAUCGGCCACACUGGAACUGAGACACGGUCCAGACUCCUACGGGAGGCAGCAGUGGGGAAUCUUCGACAAUGGGCGCAAGCCUGACGGAGCAAUGCCGCGUGAGUGAUGAAGGCUUUCGGGUCGUAAAGCUCUGUUGUUAGGAAAGAAAAGCAGCGUGAGAAACUCCCGCUGUCUUGACGGUGCCUAAUGAGAAAGCAACGGCUAACUUCGUG